CUAGUGUAGGGGUACACUCAGAGUGUGGACAUAUUUCUGUAUGCCGCCCCUGCGAUUACGUUGGGACGUCAAUCAUAAGUUCCACAACAUAUAGCACCACAGAACUUGGCCGUAGGUUCAGCCAAUCAGUGCCUGGAAAGGUGGUGCACUGGCUAAUGGAGAGAGAGGAGGGGGCGGGACAAGCGGCAGACGGAGAAUGACGAGAGAGAAGAUGGCGGCGCUCGUAGAGCUCCCACGUUAUUGUGAGUGAAUAACAGAAAGAUAAGUCAGUUAAUUGUAAGUUUAGCGCUAAGUUUAUUAAGUUUGUUAGUGUCCGUGUUACGGAAUAAUUACGGUUGAAGUGAAGAAGGAGUCUACACCACCAGCACUGAAGAUCACCCGGUGUCGCUGUCAAAAAGUAUAGCACGUUGUAGUGUGAGGCGGAAUGUCCUCGCUAGUUAGUGAAGUGUUAAACAUUUAGAAACAAGCUCGUCGCCAACGUCGAAGGCUUCACCAGGCCAGGGAACUUGGACAGCUAGCCGUUUCGCCACUACAGCCCUUGAUGUGCCCGCAGCUCACUUGCCCUCUCUCCCUCCCUCUCCCACGCCACUGACAGAUGGUGUGGUUCGUAGCAAGUACAAGCCAGGGACGGAAGAGUCUGCCAAAAGAGCUAUUAGAAAAGCUGCAAAAACCUACUGUGUCCAAGGUGAUGGGUUGUACCACCAAGGCGAUGAGUCCUGUCUGAGGAGAGUGGUGAUGACGGAAGAAGAGAAGGUGUUGAUCUCAUCGGACCCAUGAAGGCGUCAAGAAAGGGGAAAAACACCUAUUGCCUCACAGCGACUGACUAUUUCACCAAGUGGGUAGAGGCUAUUCCCAUCAAGAGGAAGGCAGCCGUGUUGACUGCGGAGGUAAGGCUAUGAUGGAUAUUUUGUGAAUUAUGGUGAUGUAGUGAUUUCUUAUACCACUGCUUGGUUGAAUAAGUGUGAUAAUGGAAUUCAAAAUGUUUGAAUAUCAAAAGUUAAUGCACUAUGAGGUGUAACAGUCAUUAGCUUUCCAUAUUCGAACGUCGUGACAUCCAGUAUCAUGCUGCCUAAACUGGAAUGUAUCUUUACAUCCUUGCAUGGUACAGUACCUCUAGUAUGAAUCAUUAGAAUAGGUUUAAUUAUUAGUUAUGGCCUCAUUUAAAUUGUUUAAAUAGUUUUACGUGUUAAUCAUAACAUCAUUAACACUAACCCACACACCUGGCCUUCCAGACAGCACUUCACUACAUAUAGGAGGAAUUAGGGUGGUGUUGCUAAAAUGUUGAGUAAUGCAUUAUUAGAUUUUCUGUUUUUCAUUAAAAAAAAACCCCUCUCUAUGGCCUGUACCUUGACGUUGGUGAGAGGGCUUUCUACUAAAACAGGCCUUAAAAACAACAUGCCACAUCCAUGUAGCUGAGUGCACAUCUACUGUUUUUGUGAUAGUCAUCAGGCCUUCUCUGUUACUCACUGCCUUUCUCUGUGUCUGCUCCCCUAGGUUUCAGGUGUGUUCGUUGGCGGGACUGUCACUUAACAGCUGAUCGACUACACCGGCGCCAAGGAGCUGCUCCUGUGACCCGAGUCCCUUUUCAUGACAUAUUCCACAUGCACACAGCACAUUCCACACAUUACAACUACUGAUCACUUGUUUGGGGAAAUACAUUAUUAAAUAGUUAUUACUAUCAAGUGCUGGUUAAGUGUUGCUUACCUAUGUAUGCUUAAGAGUUUUCAAUUGGUAGAACAUAUUUUAGUUAAAUUAUGAUGUCAAGUAAUGGUGGUGCACACACCAUAAAACAAGUCAAAGUGACAUCUGAAGAGUGCAGCCAGGAACUCUUUCUUUAUCAUGGGAUUUAAUGAUGGAAAAACGUUCCAUUGAAAUGGCCAAAUGACAUUGGGUAAAUGUAUUGUGAUAUUUACUAUCGUGUAACUUAAUUUCUGCACAUGCAAAAAAUUGCAUCCUGUAUAAAAUAUUAUGUUCCUGUAUGUUCUGUCUUUCGCAAUUGCAUAAACAAUAAAACAUUGGGUGGUGUGAAA